GUGUUCUAUGAAAGGAGAGAAGGUUAGCACUAACCACGAUAAGGAUUGAAGAGGUCCUGGUGGCCUUUACAACAUAAACGGUUAAGGUAUUGCCACCUACUCUGGCAUCUAACCAUGUGUUUGC